rnacentral:lncRNA from 1 species
AUGCCGCCCAAAGACUACAAGAAGAAAGAUGCCAGAAAGGACAAAGACCCAGAAAAUAAAUCUGGUGGCAAGACCAAAAAGAAGUGGUCCAAAGACAAAGUUCAGGACAAGUUGAACAAUCUUGACCUGUUUGACAAAGCUAUAUACGACAAGCUCUGUAAGAAAGUUCCUAACUGUAAGCUUAUUAAUCCAGCCAUGGUCUUCGAGAGACUGAAGACUUGCAGUUCCUUGAUCAGGGCAGUCCUUCAGGAGCUACUUAGUAAAGGACUUAUCAAGCUGGUUUCAAAGCACAGAGCCCAAAUAAUUUACACCAAAAAUGCCCUAACUUCUGAUGAA